CAUCGCCAAAUUUCCCAUCGAUUGUUUUCUGAGCAAGCGGGGAGAGAGAGAGAGAGUCUGGAAGGAGGUCACGUAACAAACGGGGGGUCUGAUCGAUUGGCUACCUUCUCGUCCUUCUCGAUGUUGAAAGAUAUUUUGAUUUUUUGCAUUGCAUCACAAGAUCGAUCAGUAGGGUCUGACGGGGUAUGUUGCCUUGUUCGAUACCAAAAAUCGCAUUUUGUAAUAUGUUGUUUUUUCGGUUUUCCGCUGCCUGGUAGUCGUAAUAUUGGAGCAAAGCAACGGGUGAAGCCCUCACCUUAGUGGCCUGGCCCCAAGAAGGGGGUAAAUCAUGGGGGCAUUUGGCCAGCGCAGUGGCUCUUUGAAUGGGGAGGUCAAACACCCAUCAGCCACCCAUGCAGGAAUUGAAAGAUCUGCAAUGAGAUUCAAGAAAGGGAAUAAGGUGGAAGUUUGGAACAGGAGGGAGGUUCUUUCUGGCUCUUGGUGGAGUGCCGAAAUCAUAUCUGGUAAUGGGCAUACAUAUUCUGUGAAGUAUGAUGGGUAUCCAACAAAUAGCUGUUUGGCAGUGGAUAGAGUGCCAAGAAAAGCCAUUAGACCAUGCCGACCAUCAGAGGACCUUAAAGAGUUGAGCAUUGGCGAUGUUGUGGAGGUCUUUGACAAUAAUUCCUGGAAGCUUGGUGAAGUUCUGAUGAUAAUUGAUAAAAAAUAUUGUUAUAUGCUGCUCCUUGACUCCUUGAAGGAAUUACAAGUUCACAAAUCUUACAUUAGGAGACAACUGUCCUGGGAAGACAACAAAUGGACUGUGAUUCAUAAGGAUUCUGGAGAAAAAAAUGAUGGAAAACAUAGUGGCUCAGUUAGAGGUGGGAAGUCAAAAUGCCCUAUGCUCCAGCCACCUGAGAAGAUGAAGACCAAAAACAACAAUUUUCCAAUGGUUCUGUCAAAAAGAAUGAAUAAAAGGAAACUUGAUAUGGUCGUUCCCACUAAUACAUGCAAUGGAGGAAGAAAAAAGAUGGCAAUUAUGAAAGAUGAAAGUUGGCAAAGAAUAUCUGAGAGUGAAGCAAAGGUAGAUAAUGCUACUUCAACUGGAAGGUUGUUUGGUGAAAAAUACAUCAAUUGUUACUUAAACAAAAGAACUGGUUCCUCCAAAAUUGAAUCAGGGAGCAUUGUACCACGUUCAGAUGAAAAUAAUUAUUUUUGGAGUUCUGUGAAUGCUGAUGCUGAUAGUACUUCAUCAUCUGUUGGCAGUUGUAGUGUUGACAACAGUCCAUGUGGAUCACUACAGGACCAUGAAGAAGUGUGUAGUCAUACUGAUCAUGCUGAAGCUUCUUGCAGUUAUGUAAGAGAUUCAUCUCCUUCUAACAAGGUUAACUCGCAAUCAGAAAUUCAUCUGCUGGAGUUGAGCGCAUAUAGAUCCACAUUAACAGCAAUGUAUGUUUCUGGGCCAGGCCAAAGUUGGAGGCUUCUAAGCUUUGCUUCCAUAGGCCUGUGAAUCCUUGAUGAGGGUUGAAUUGUGACGCCUUUGCGCUUCAAUCAGUUUGGCAAGAUUUCCAUCUUAUUCUCAUGGCAGGCUGAGGGAUUUAACUUGCAAAUACUAUGCCUUUCAUGGAAAAUAUUCUGUUCCUUUUGUUCAUAAAAAUUGCAUUGGUCUUCGAAUCAUGGUUCCUUUUGUUCCUCAAGGAUUCGCGCUCCUUCAAAAUCAAACUUUAUUGCUAAUUGAUUUGAUUCUGGGUUGAUUGAGAGAAUGGAUAUACUAUUUUUUGGGUUGAUCGAUCUGUGAGGAACUGAAUACCACAUUGUAGAUUGUUUAUUGCUCGGAAAGACAUGCAAUUGCUGAACCUGAUUAAUGUUAUGGUCUGGAAAUCAUUAUCUUGCAGAAAAUGUUGUCAUUAUCUGCUAAAAGGAUGUUUUUUGGAGGUGCUUUUCAAGUUUCUGAUGGCAGAAAAACCCCAAGGUGAAUCCAUUGCUGCAUCCUGAUCGUGUAUUCGUCCGGUGUCCUGUCAAAGGUCUGAUUGCCCCAACUAUUCGGGCGAUAAUUUUUUUCCCUGAUAACUCAGGUUUUCAGUUUGUGUGAUCUGAUUAAUCACGGAGUUGACCGAUCCUGUCCAAGUUUCCCAUCAGUCCCUAAAGGUAAAUCCUGGAAGCGCUUUAGCAACUAUGUCAACAGCUGACUUGGGCAGUCUUUGCCGUUCUUGUAAGACCGUUCCAUCUCCAAAACGAGCAAUUCACUCAGAGGUCAACUCGUGGUUUUUUUCACUUUGGUACUUCGACUCAUGACUGUCUAGUCGAAAUUUUUCCAUCAAGUUCAGUGUCAGUUUAUGUCCCAGUAGAAGAUUGAACCGUGGUGUUCGAUCAGUCCAUAAUCCUUUACCGCCGACAGAUAGCAUCAAAUGAGCAAGAAAUGACAAUCUCACUGUAAAUGA